CCUACGGGUGGCAGCAGUGAGGAAUAUUGGUCAAUGGACGAGAGUCUGAACCAGCCAAGUAGCGUGAAGGAUGACUGCCCUAUGGGUUGUAAACUUCUUUUAUAUGGGAAUAAAACGUUCAACGUGUGGGAUUUUGUAUGUACCAUAUGAAUAAGGAUCGGCUAACUCCGGGCAAGCAGCCGCGGUAAUACGGAGGAUCCGAGCGUUAUCCGGAUUGAUUGGGGUUAAAGGGAGCGUAGGUGGAUUGUUAAGUCAGUUGUGAAAGUUUGCGGCUCAACCGUAAAAUUGCAGUUGAAACUGGCAGUCUUGAGUACAGUAGAGGUGGACGGAAUUCGUGGUGUAGCGGUGAAAUGCUUAGAUAUCACGAAGAACUCCGAUUGCGAAGGCAGCUCACUGGACUGCAACUGACACUGAGGCUCGAAAGUGUGGGUAUCAAACAGGAUUAGAUACCCGAGUAGUC
rnacentral:rRNA from 1 species